rnacentral:tRNA from 1 species
GAACAUAUGGCUUAGUUGGUCAGAGCGGCUGGACGGUCCAAAGAGACGCGGCUUCAAAUCCCGCUACGUUCA